CUUUCAGAGAACCCACCCCUCCGCCCUCCGCACGUGUGCCCCUCUCACGGUUUGGCCAGCCCCCUCUCUCUGGUCCAAAGCUCCUCCACAAAGUGGACUUGGGUGUGGAGCCCAGCACACCCUGCCCUCGGGCCGCAUAUCUGCACGCACACAGGGUCUUCUUAAAGGCCAAAGCUCAGGCCACAAGGGCUCUGCCAGGCCCGCUGCUUCUAUCCAAGGGGUGACCAUGGGGGAGGCCAGCAAGAAUGCCACAGUCUCACCCUGCUGCCUGUCUGUCUUGCGGAGGGCUCAGCCCUUUCCCGUGUUCACGAAAAGGACAGCGUGCGGGCCGGGGGACUCGCUCCUCUGCAGGAUGCCGCUGAUGGAGUACGACGAGCCGGCCGAAUCCGUGCUCACCGAGGACACCUGCGUCACGGAGCCAGUGGACACUGCGCGGAGAAAGACGGGCGGUCAGGGCCGCAGAGGGCUGAGGGCGGCGGACCGGCUGUCACCGCACCUAACCAGCGGUGUUUCCUGUAUCCCAAGUGGAGAAAUAAUACACCUUAAAUAGACACAUGUCAUUUCACAAUCUUUGAAGGGAAGACAAAGGACAUUUCUGAACUCUUGAGCACUAGGAAGUAUGACUCCCACUCUGUCGGGUCACAGCCACUCUCAGACGUCACCUGCGAGCACUGGAAACCCCACUGGCAGCCCUUGACAGUUCAUAGAGUUCAUGAGAUCGAAGCAAGAGAGAGAGAGAAAAACCUUAGGCUCUGAAGAGUUUGUAGACGUCCAGCAAGGACCACGCAUGCGCAAGACAGCAAGUCCGGCGCAUCUGAGAGCAGCAGAACAGGGCCACGCGAAAAGCUCCUUCGGAUCUACCAGAAAGCUCCUUCCUUGGCAUUUGGGAGAAGAGUGGGUCAUAAUAAAAUGUCCGGUUUCUUUGGAAAAGUUAUAUUCCAGUCUCAAACUAUUACCUUUUGAAAGGACAUUUAUUAGAGUUUUUUCUCAUUAUAACAGUAAUAUACGUUCAUUGUAGACUCUUUGGACAGUAUGGGAAAGUAUAAAGAAGACAUCUAAAAACGGUAUUUUGGUGUAUUUCCUUUAUACCAACAUUCCUGGGCAUAUUUAGAAAUAUCCAUUUUUCUCUUAACAAAAUCAGGAUUAUGCCAUGUAUACAGUUUUUUUUGUUGUGGUGGUUGUUUGUUUUGAGACAGAGUCUUGCUCUGUUGCCCAGGCUGGAGUAUAGUGGUGCGAUCUCAGUUCACUGCAACCUCCGCCUCCCAGGUUUGAGUGAUUCUCCUGCCUCAUCCUCCCAAGUAUCUAGGAUUACAGGCAUGCGCCACCAUGCCCAGUUUUUUUGUUUUUUUGCUUUUUUGUUUUUCUUUUUGAGACGAAGUCUCUCUCUGUCACCCAGGCUGGAGUGUAGUGGCAUAACCUCAGCUCACUGCCACCUCUGCCCCUAGGGUUCAACUGAUUCUCCUGCCUCAGCCUCCCGAGUAGCUGGGACUACAGGCGCAUGCCACUGCCUAAUUUUUGUAUUUUUAGUAAAGAAGAGGUUUCACCACGUUAGCCAGGCUGGUCUCCAACUCCUGACCUCAAGUGGUCGGCCCUCCUCGGCCUCCCAAAGUGCUGGGAUUACAGGCGUGAGCCACCGCACUCAGCCUCCAUGUAUACAGUUUUGCAGCCUGCUCUUUUCAUGCAACAUUCUGUGAGAAGCUUUUUCACAUUCCAGACCAUUAAUAUCUGAAAGUUUAUUCUGAGGCUGCACUGGGUCUCCAGCUUAUACAAAUGAAGAAUGACAGAAGUAGCAGGUGGGUGCCUCCCCUUAAACUCAAUGGGCAGUAGCCUCUCUGCCCUUUCUGAUCUUACAGCUUGGUGCUCGGCACCAAGGGCAGUCCGUGUCCUCAGCUGAUAGCCUGAAAUGGUCUUUUCUGUUCACCCUAUAGUCUCACCACACACACACAGGCCAUCUGGAGCCUGGCUACUUGAGCUCAGCAAGGAGCCUCUUGCCCUUUUCUAAUCAGUCAGCUUAAGUGUUCCCUCAAAUACAUUCAGAUUGUUUGUUUGUUUUCCCUAAUAUUCAAACCACUUAUUUUAACUAAGCAAACUCGAAGCAUAUUGGACAACCAGAAAACUCAUGGCAUUUGGGAGAAGAGUGGGUCAUAAUAAAAUGUCCAGUUCUGGGAGUGAGGUUCUCUUUUUGGUCACCUGGAAGUAAGCUGGCAUCUGACCUAAUGUUUAUAUUUUUGUGUAUGUCACUUUCUCUGUGUGUAUGUGUCUACAGAGAUAUUGCUGGAUAUGUCAAUAUAUGGAUAUACCAGACAUAAAUAUAGUUACAAAUAAAUAUAUGGCAAAAAAGUCA
rnacentral:lncRNA from 1 species